GCAGUGAAUACAUGUGGAACAUGUCCCUUUUCAGUUUUCCCCCCCUUUGCUUUCAGAAACACUUUUAUUUUUCCUUCCAUUUACUGUUUUUCCUUCAUUUAAGUUUAAUAUCCAAAAACAUCUGGUCUUCAGUCUGUUAACAUCUUCAACAAUUCUCUGUAUUUCAUUUACUGAUGUCCCAAACUGAUGUUCAUCUCUGCUGAACCUCAGCUUGAAUCAUUGCAUUUCCUGACAGCCUGCUAGAGCAAUAAAUUACUAUAUUUAUCAUUUGGUGAAGAUAAAAACAGGCUAAAAAUAAUUUUAACACUUUAAGAAGUGUUGUGCAUUUGAAUGAGACCUUGUUGGUCGUAAAGGCAGAGAUCAAUUCUCCAGAUCCAAACCUACUACUAAUGUCAAAAAUACACUUGUCUGGCUCAUUCAUCACAUUUACCAACCUACAGUUUGAGUGGUAAAAUUCCCAACUUGAGGAUUAUGUUUGAACAAAAAUAUUGUCACCGUUAGAACUUUCUACAUUCCUCUUUUAAUCACCAAACUCCAAAACAUUCAAGCUGUUUUCAGUCGUACAUUCUUAUUGGAUGGACAGUAUCCUAAUAACUUUCUCAAACAACAUCGAAGAUUUGUUUUCUGUUUCUUCACCUUGACUUUCCCUACAUUCUUGUGCCCUCAUAUAACAUUUUCCUAACCCAUUGGUCUGUGUUCAGCUGCUGCUACUACAAAUGGAAACUGGUGGCUACUACCUGUUCUUUUUGUCUUUACUUUCAAGCCAAGUUUUUUAGUCCUGUCACCUUAAGAGAUGCCCUUGUUCUGCUUUGUUGUGCUUCUUUUAUCUAAUUUUCCUUCGAUAUUUGUAAAGAAUAAUUUAAAUGAACUAAACUCAUGAAGAUAUCCCAAGUUGGUUCCUUCAAAAGUGAAAAAAAUCCCUUAAGAUCUUGAAAAAUAGUUGGUAAACUGUUUUUGACCUCAACACAUUAACUCGAAAGAAAAUGGACACUAAAUACUCCUGCAGCAGAUUAUUCAGCUUUUCGUUGCUUUUUAUCUGGGAUGGGUAUCAAGAUCCGAUACAAAACCGCUCCGAGUUCCUUGUUCUUCAGCUCUGAAAUGUCACAAUUACGAAUUACAAUGAUAAACUAUCUCUAUUAAACUUGAACGACUUUAAUGUGAAAAAAACGUCAAUAUAACACGAACAUUGCAGUAUUUUAAAACUUUCUCCUUGUGUUGAUUUUUGGAAUCAAAUCAUGUAGAAAUCACGAAAAGAUACCUAAAAUCGUAAUUAUUAUUUUAAAGAUUUUCCUUUUAAAAUUGAUGAUUAUCAGUCUAACAAAAUACAAACGUGCAACCUUCUUUGUAACAUAGCUGGUGUUCCUUGUAAUUAAUUAAUUAGACUUCCUCAAGUCUCUUCCACACACAUUAAAAAUCAGAACACAGAGAAUUCAGCAAUCUUCUUAGUAUGCAUUAAUCUGCUGUUUUGAACUCAAACAUAACUUGGCGGUGACAUCUUGUUGGUUUAUUGUGGCAACAUGCAUCUUAUCCAGAUUGUGUUGCCACUGUACUCCAGAGGGGACAGGCCAUCAGAGAAUUGAAACAGGAAAAGAUACUUUAGUCUCAUUGCGUUCGCCCUGGUUUGUCGGUACUAAAAAAUGUUUGAAGAAUUCUUGGCACUGGGGCUUUUGAGUUUAGGCCCCUGACACAUAGGGAUCAGUAUGUGCUUUGUUCUCAGUUCUGGAGAAGUGCACACUUGUCCAAAUUGCAGACAGACUAAAUGCUGGACGAGCAAAGGAAGUUUUGUUUUUCAGGCAGUGUUUAAAAUGACAAAUUCCUGGCAUUGUACUGUCAUACAGAUGCUGCAGCACAACUUUUAAAAACUCAAUUCAAGCCUCAGUAUUUUGGUAAGAUCUGUGAAGACUGAUGUUUUUUUUUUUGUUUUUUUUUUUUGUCUGAGCUAUUUUUUUGACUCCACUUGUGAAUAUAGAAUCACACAGCCCCAACCAGUUUAAAAUAUUGGCAGGAUGGCCAUCUCCACGUUGACCAGUAGUUCAUACAGAAAUCAGCCAUUAUCUAAGUCCUUUCAUUCUUUUAAAGCAUCUGAGAUGCGUCAGUCUAUCGUCUACAAACAGGCCAGGCUGUAUUUGCUCACUAAUAGUUACAGCUACACUAUGUAGUCUGGAAGAGGGCAAUGACAGUAACAUACAGGUAGGAUCUACAUAGCUGAUUAUUUUAGGAUAGGAAGUGCUUCAUGUAAUCUAUUCAACAUCAGCUCUAUGGAAUAAAAUGCAUCCAUCUACUGAUAAACACAAGUAAUCAUCAAAUAUUACUUAAAUGUUCUACUCUCAAAUUUUAAAUUAUCUUCCACAGCAUUGUGACAAAUAAAUCCUCUUAUGUUUUGACUGUUAUUGUUUCAAAACAGUAAAAUUUUGACUCAAAACAAUUUAAAGGGACCUUUAUCAGAUGCAAUAAUUCUAGUAUUCAUGUCAACAAAAUCCUAAUGAUACCCAUCCCUUUCUCAACACUUAAAUAUGAGUAUUACACUAGAGUUUGCUUUCCUUUGUGUUGUUUGCUCAGUUAUUUAAGAAGCUUACAUGUUGCUUGUAAAGGCCCGUCUCUGCCUGAAAGUACAAGAUACAGGCCAAACCAAAACCUUCGUCAUCUCGACUUGAUCAAAAUAUAAUCUUAGAAGGAAGACAGCCCUUCCCCAUUGGUAUUAAAGUUGAGUGAUGUGCCUGUGAACAUGCUGCUGUCUUGACUCCACAUUUGAUUCCACCAGGUUGACUCCGAUUGUGACUCAGAUCGAGUUACCUAUGACACAAUGGAUCACGAAGACAGAGAUCGAGACUGAGGAACAAAACAAAAAAGUCUGUCACUCCACUCUGUGCAUACGUACUGCAGUGUGCGUGAUCAACUCAGUCAUGUGCUCUCACAAGUCUGGGCCGAUGCCUAAGUUCUAAACAGUCCCAACGUGUGUAUCAGGAUGCGAUAUCCUUACACACAAAGAGAGAGCGAGAGAUCGAACACUAAAUGUUCAAACCACGCAAAACGGUAAAGAGUGAUUUGUCUAUGGGACAUGAGAGGUUUGUGUGCCUGUCUCUCAGAUUUCCCCGUAGCUCUCCACUCUUGGUCGGUUGUUCACCAGAAAAAUGGAUCGAUAAAGAGUUGAAGCUCUCCGUGCCAAGCGACUCCUCGUAAAUGGGUACUUAAACUUUUUUUUGGAGGGGUGGGAGGGGACUGAGAUGAGGAAUUCAAACGGUCUUGGUGCUGAAAGUGAGUAAUGAAAACUGUGCCUCCUAAUGUCCUGUCUAAGUGGAUGUCUCUGUGUCCGAUGAAGCGUGAAGUGCUCUGUAACCCUAACAAAAUGACUAUCACUGUGUUCCUGUGGUUUUUAAAUGGCCUUCCCCUCGCUGUCACUGUCUUUACUUCUAUCCUGCUCAGUGUGAAAUGAAGGCCACCCAUAAAUGCAGUAAUUGGCAAGUGUUUAUCGUAGCCCUGGCAAUCGCAUGCUGUGUAACGAUAGAAAAGGUCAAUUUAUAAGACUUUAAAUGCCUCACUCUGACCACAGCAGGUACUUCAAAAAAGUUGAAGCUGUUUUGCAACCUAUUGUAUCGUCAUAGAAGAUUGACAAAAUGCAACUCAUGGCUGUAAUACAAACGAUAAAAGAUUUACCUGCAGGCCUUGACGGGAAACAUCCCAACUGUGAAAUUUCAUCAUAGCACCUUUGGAAGUGUUUUAUUUCUGAGUCAAAGCAGAUGUACACAAAGGACAGUUGUGUUAACCAGAGAAGCUCCAAACCUUUAGAUAUCAGACUCAUUCAAGAUUUUUCCACCUUAUUCUUCUGUUUCCACUUCAUCCCCCACCCUAAUCUUAAUUAUAUCUGACUUUACCCUGUAGGGUAUUGCUGCUUUUGAACAAAAUGUGAGCCCUUGCCCUCCUUAUUGAUUGAUCAUUCAUUCUUUGUAAUUGUCCUGCAUACAGUUUUCAUAUAUAAUCAAUAAAUUGUGGUAUAAAAAGGAAUAUUAUAAAAUUGUUCAUUUGUGUUGUAAGUCAUCAGAAUUAAAUGUCUUCAUGAAACUGGA